UUUGUAUAAUGGGUCAGCGACUUAUAUUCAGUGGCAAGGUUAACCAUCUAGGGGAGCCGUAGGGAAACCGAGUCUUAACUGGGCGUUCAGUCUCUGGAUAUAGACCCGAAACCAGGUGAUCUAGCCAUGGGCAGGUUGAAGGUUGAGUAACAUCAACUGGAGGACCGAACCGACUAAUGUUGAAAAAUUAGCGGAUGACUUGUGGCUAGGGGUGAAAGGCCAAUCAAACCUGGAGAUAGCUGGUUCUCCCCGAAAGCUAUUUAGGUAGCGCCUCGGACGAAUACUACUGGGGGUAGAGCACUGUUAAGGCUAGGGGGUCAUCCCGACUUACCAACCCUUUGCAAACUCCGAAUACCAGUAAGUACUAUCCGGGAGACACACGGCGGGUGCUAACGUCCGUCGUGGAGAGGGAAACAACCCAGACCGCCAGCUAAGGUCCCAAAUUACUACUAAGUGGGAAACGAUGUGGGAAGGCUCAGACAGCCAGGAUGUUGGCUUAGAAGCAGCCAUCAUUUAAAGAAAGCGUAAUAGCUCACUGGUCGAGUCGGCCUGCGCGGAAGAUGUAACGGGGCUAAGUAGUAAACCGAAGCUGCGGCAAUAUACUUUUGUAUAUUGGGUAGGGGAGCGUUCUGUAAGCGGUUGAAGGUGUGUGGUAACGCAUGCUGGACGUAUCAGAAGUGCGAAUGCUGACAUGAGUAACGAUAAAGGGGGUGAAAAACCUCCUCGCCGGAAGACCAAGGGUUCCUGUCCAACGUUAAUCGGGGCAGGGUAAGUCGACCCCUAAGGCGAGGCCGAAAGGCGUAGUCGAUGGGAAACGGGUUAAUAUUCCCGUACUUCUUACAAUUGCGAUGGGGGGACGGAGAAGGCUAGGUGGGCCUGGCGACGGUUGUCCAGGUUCAAGUGCGUAGGCUGAGAAAUUAGGUAAAUCCGGUUUCUCUUAA
rnacentral:rRNA from 1 species